rnacentral:ribozyme from 1 species
CACACACACAUCUUCACACACACAUCUUCACACACACAACAAACACACACAACAAACACACCUACCUA